GAUUGGCAGUGAUGACUCGGAAAUUUCAAGCUCAACAGACCGGAAUUAGGCGUUUCUUCCAAUUUAUUGGUUGAGUCGUUUCUGUGUCGAUAACCCCGCUGAUCUGAGCCUUCCUCUCUUUUCAUUUGAUUCUGAUUUGUUUGCGUUUUCGAAUUUGAAAUUCUCUGGUAAUCGAUUUAUAC
rnacentral:sRNA from 1 species